GACGAACGCUGGCGGCGUGCCUAAUACAUGCAAGUCGAACGCAGUGGGGACGGGUGAGUAACACGUGGGUAACUUCACAUCUGAGGGGAUAACACUUGGAAACAGGUGCUAAACCGAUACUGAUGGAUGGACUCGCUGUGCAUUAGCUAGUUGGUGAGGUAACGGCUCACCAAGGCCACGAUGCAUAGCCGACCUUAGGGGGUGAUCGGCCGACCUGGGACUGAGACACGGCCCAGACGACUACGGGAGGCAGCAGUAGGGAAUCUUCGGCAAUGGGCGAAAGUCUGACCGAGCAACGCCGCGUGAGUGAAGAAGGUUUUCGGAUCGUAAAGCUCUGUUGUUAGAGAAACGGUAUCUAACCAGAAAGCAACGGCUAACUACGUGCCAGCCGCCGCGGUAAUAC
rnacentral:rRNA from 1 species